AGUGAACGCUGGCGGUAGGCCUAACACAUGCAAGUCGAACGGCAGCACAGUAAGAGCUUGCUCUUACGGGUGGCGAGUGGCGGACGGGUGAGGAAUACAUCGGAAUCUACUUUUUCGUGGGGGAUAACGUAGGGAAACUUACGCUAAUACCGCAUACGACCUACGGGUGAAAGCAGGGGAUCUUCGGACCUUGCGCGAUUGAAUGAGCCGAUGUCGGAUUAGCUAGUUGGCGGGGUAAAGGCCCACCAAGGCGACGAUCCGUAGCUGGUCUGAGAGGAUGAACAGGCACACUGGGACUGAGACACGGUCCAGACUCCUAGGGGAGGCAGCGAUGGGGAAGAUUGGACGAAGGGCGCAAGCCUGAUCCAGCCAUACCGCGUGGGUGAAGAAGGCCUGCGGGUUGUAAAGCCGUUUUGUUGGGAAAGAAAGGCAGCAGGUUAAGACCCCGCUGUUCUGACGGUACCCGAAGAACAAGCACCGGCUAACUUCGUG
rnacentral:rRNA from 1 species